rnacentral:rRNA from 1 species
AACGAACGCUGGCGGCAGGCUUAACACAUGCAAGUCGAACGCCCCGCAAGGGGAGUGGCAGACGGGUGAGUAACGCGUGGGAAUCUACCUGGAACUACGGAACAACUGAGGGAAACUUCAGCUAAUACCGUAUACGCCCUACGGGGGAAAGAUUUAUCGGUUUCAGAUGAGCCCGCGUAAGAUUAGCGAGUUGGUGGGGUAAUGGCCUACCAAGGCGACGAUCUUUAGCUGGUCUGAGAGGAUGAUCAGCCACACUGGGACUGAGACACGGCCCAGACUCCUACGGGAGGCAGCAGUGGGGAAUAUUGGACAAUGGGCGCAAGCCUGAUCCAGCCAUGCCGCGUGAGUGAUGAAGGCCUUAGGGUUGUAAAGCUCUUUCAGUGGGGAAGAUAAUGACGGUACCCACAGAAGAAGCCCCGGCUAACUGCGUGCCAGCCGCCGCAGUAACAC